rnacentral:rRNA from 1 species
AACGAACGCUGGCAGCGUGGAUUAGGCAUGCAAGUCGAACGAGAAACUAUCUGUUCAAUCUUCGGAAAGAACAGAUGGUGGACAGUGGCGGAAGGGUGAGUAACGCGUGGGCAAUCUGUCUUUGAGUUCGGGACAACCUACCGAAAGGUGGGCUAAUACCGGAUGUGGUCGUUUCUGGCAUCAGGGAUGAUUAAAGGUGGGGAUCUUUAGGGACCUGCCGCUCGAUGAGGAGCCCGCGUCCCAUCAGCUUGUUGGUGAGGUAAUGGCCCACCAAGGCUUACGGGUAGCUGGUCUGAGAGGAUGGUCAGCCACACUGGGACUGAGACACUGCCCAGACUCCUACGGGAGGCUGCAGUCGAGGAUCAUUCGCAAUGCGCGAAAGCGUGACGAUGCGACGCUGCGUGGGGGAUGACGGCCUUCGGGUUGUA